AGAUGUAUAUAUGUCAUUGAAAAUUAAAUUACGAAUUAAAAACAGCUCUAGGAAUGUAAACAUUUUC